AAAGUCGGUGACACCUCAAGGGUUCACAGUUGCAGCGUGUACAAGAUGGACUUGGUGGGGAAGAGGUGGCGCAAGGUCCGUGACAUCGGCGACCGAGCCUUCAUCAUGUGCCCUCAGUAUUUCAUCAUUAGGCUUUCUAUGAUUCUUCUCAAGCUUCGAGACAUCUUUUCGAUGAGCUGUGCUUCCUCUAGCAAGAUAUCUCUCUGAUGAGCCGUCGCCGGAGCUCUAGAGCGCGCUCUGUCCAUGUUUUGGGCGGCCCUAACGGUCCUCUUGGUCCGGCCCGAGCUCGGCCAUUGUCGGUCCGGUACCUGAAGAUGGGACCGCGAUGUUGCUCAGUCCGGUCCUGACCGGACCGUCGGCGGCCGGUCCAAACACCGGUUCGGACCAGGACCGCACCGGCUCGGACCGUGUCCAGGCUGAUGUGAGGCUACUAAUAGGAGAAAUCCUACUUUCUGUGUUGGCGAGUUAUGCAAGAACGGUGGUGUUGCAACACUGAAGUACGUAUACUACUUUCAAUGAUAGACAUAUCAUGGCUACCUUUACAGAAGCUCCUCUACGGAAACAAGGGGCAGAUGACUAUUAUUUGAAAUCUGCCGUUCAUUUUUUUUGGUUAUUUUCCAAAAGCGUAGAUGCAUAGCAAUGCACACUAAUUCAUACAUGAAUGAUUUUUUGUGUUGAUUCAUAUUUCAUUACUUUUACGAAAGGCGGGGAUAUGCUCUUUUCACCAUCAAUUUUAGAAUAAGACGCCUGCAGGUGAGGUGUAGACGUGUAGUUGAUGAAAAUAUUGGUUACCACGGCUCUUAUUAGUGCCAAGUCGCAGUAUCUGAACGGGCAGUGUUUUUUCAUAGACUUUCUUAUUUCAUGGAGUGGCUGACCUAUAUAGUGUUGUAAUAAGCCAUAAAUACAAACUAUCGGGCAAAAAUAUUGGCAUCUAUCAAUGUUCCCCUUUAUAUUGGAAAAUAUUGGAAAUGCUGAAGAACUGCCAUGCAAUGCCAUGCAAGCAUAUUGGCAUUAGACUUCAGGUGAGAAUUCAGUUUACAUUAUCAAUGUGCUAUUGCUCGUAAAAUUAGUUAAGUACGCUCUGUUUUAAUAAAGGACUCAUAAAAGUUCUUGGUGUUCCUUUUAAAAUGAUAUAUAUCAUAUAUCUUUGAAAGUCAAUUGAAUGUCAGUUAAGUUAAAAAGCAUACUUGAAAAAGACACCGCUGAAGAGGUGACGAUGAUGGAAUACAUAGUAUCCUGGAUACUUACAUAAAUGAUGGAAAGACCAAUGAUUUGAGGUGAGGUGCGUGCUUGGGUUGACGAAGAAAGACGGCAGCCAUGCGGGGCGCUAGGUAGUACCGGGGAGGAUAACAUAACGGAGAGGGCUAUAGACUUAAAAAUAAACAUGAAGGGGAGGAUAACAUAAAGGAAAGGGAUAGAUUAAAAAUAAACAUGAAUUCACCAUCAUCACGCGGGCAUGGCCUCUGACGAUAGGGGAGCAUGCGGACAUGAGCUCCAUCAUCAACAUCGAGGUAAACGUUGUGAAGUACAAGAUGUUUGAUCAAUAUCUCUAUGCUUGAGCUUGCUAUCCCGUGACAACACACGGACAAUCAAUUAGUAAGUAAACGGCCUGACACCCGUCCACCUCCAAAUCUCCAACCCGUCCAACAAAACACACAAUCAAUGUAAUGCAUUUUUCAGCAGUGCAAGUGUAUGAUUUCACUGCAAUAACUCAAGNNNNNNNNNNUGGUAAUUUCAAACGUUUAUAAGUCAUAAAAGUAAUAUAAUGAAUAUACCGUGUAACACACAAUCCAACACUUUUUAUUCUAGAUGUUCGAAAUGUAAUGAAUCUAUCGUGUUUAUAGGAAAUCCGAUUGUAUUUGCAUGAAUUGCACCCAGUGUGUUGAAAAGGAGUUUCAAAUAUAAGGCGACUAGCAUUGGAUGCUAUCCUUCGCAUUUAUGUUCGUAGACUCGUCCUUUUAUCAGUGGACUGAUGCAGGGGAAAAUUAUGGGGUUGAUGUUGGAGAUGCCUUAAGAAAUAUGAAAAACAAAACAAAAAUGAAAACACGUUUGAUCUAUGAUGACAGUUUCAAAAAACUAAUUUGUUUGGAACGGUGGAAGUAUAUAUAUCCAGACUAUUUGAGGCAAGGCACACUCGGUCGCACGAAUAGGAGACGAUCGAACUCUGCACCAUUCCGAUCGAUCGUAUGGAAGGAUUCGAGUCCGGGUCCAACAGGAACGUGCAGGUAAGCCUCAGAACACGGACGCUUAUCUAAGACCACGCACCCACGAACCCUCGAAGACAAGUCGAUCGAUCGCGAUCGACGACGGCAUCGACAGGAUCGACCGGCCACGCCAACAUGGAUUUCUCGGCGCCGCUGCCGCUGCCACUGCCGUGCCUCGUCGUCGACCACGACGGGGCGGGAGGGGAGCCCAGCACAACCCUGCUCGACAUCUCCAAAGGGGAGCAGCACCAGCACCAGCACCAUGCAUGCGACGACGACCACCUGCUUCGGAACAGGCGGAGAUGGAUGACGCCGCACGGGUGGGUGCUCUCGUGUGACCCAUUCACCCUCGCCACCUUCCUGUGGAACCCUCAGACCUCGGAGAAGAUCCACCUGCCGCCCCUCACGCCGGAGCAGGAGAUACCCUUGCUCUCCUCCUGCUCCCUCUCCGGCAAGCCCACCACCGGCAACGCCGCUGGCUUCACCGUGGUGGUCGUCGAGCCGGAGGACCCGACGGUAUGGUACUGCCACGUCGGAGGUGACGCCGGAACACGUGGAUGGGUCAGGCACGAGUACGACGUGGGAAGCGUCACGUUCCCGGGAACCAACGGCAGGAGCAGCAAGCAGAUGAAGAAUUUCAUCACCCGGCUCGCGGCGGUCGGAGGCAAGUUCUACUUCUUCCAGUCGUACCACGAGAUCGGCGUGCUCGACUUCUCCCCCGGACCAGUCUUCAGCACCGUGUCCGUCCCCGGCAUCGAGCGUCCCCCGAGGACCAACAUCAUGGUGCCGUUCUUCGUUGAGCUCGGCGGGGAGCUCUAUCUGGUCCCCGCCUUCUUGCACUACAAAGUCGGUGACGGCUCAAAGGUUCACGGCUGCGGCGUGUACAAGAUGGACUUUGCCGGGAAGAGGUGGCGCAAAGUCCGCGACAUCGGCGAUCGAGCCUUCCUCAUGUGCCCUCAGUAUUUCGGUGGGUGGUGCUCCGCGACCGCCUCCGGGCUGAGACCCAACUGCGUCUAUUGGAUGGGGCUGUGUAACGACAACCUGCUGCGAAUCUUCGAUAUCAACGGGAAUGGAGACACACAUGAAGUGCACGAUCCAUGCAAAGAUAUCAUCAGGUCAAAUCGUAAUGCGGUGUGGAUGCUUCCUACCGAGCCAUAAGCAUGGAAUAAACUAGAUGAUUCUUCACGCGUUGCUUGCUAAUAGAAUUGGUUGCAAUAAAUUUGAACAAGGUUUUUUAUUUUAUAGACAUGAGUAUUUGGAUUGAUAAUAUAAGAGUUUGAAUUGAAAACACAUAUGAUUUAUUGCAUUUGAUUAUUUCUAAUGUAUUUAUGGUGUAUAUAUGACAUAAUAGAGUGUUUAUUUUUUUCUCAUGGAUGGUUGCAUGCCGUGGCCAACAAUAUUUGCAUACAUGGUUGUAUGUUGAAUUGUGAUAUUUAAAAAAAAAUCGUAAUGUUUCUUCCUUUGCUUUUGCCAGCAGGCUAGGCCCGAAAAGCUCCUGAUUAAAAGUAAUGCCUGCAAUUGAUUUAUUCAGUCAUUAUAGUUCCCUAGCCUUGCCAUGAAAGAUGGCGUAUUCCGAUCCCCUUCGGUUAGGCAUUCCACUUGUUGAGAUAGACCAUUGCNNNNNNNNNNAAUAGGUUGUUCAAGAACACCUAUUUAUUUAGUUAUACUCUGUAUUUAAGAUCACCUAUUUAUUUAGUAUGUCCCGGUUUUACUACUGUAAUUCAAUUCCGACCUACAUGCUGACCUUAACUAAGUGUGUAUACUCGUGUGAUGCAGCAUCUCACAAUUUUGUCUCCUAAAUCGUUAUUGCUUUCAUUUCUGUCUAGCAUUACUGGGGAGAGAUUUCCCACGUGAAUCUAUAUAUUUUGUAAUGAAACCAAUAUGACGGUGAGACUUAAACCUUGAAGAUCAGCUGGAUACUUCAAAAAGAAUCAACACAGCCAAAAUAGCUGAAGAAUCACAAUCAGGCUUGAUGUAUACUCGUGGUCGCCAUCGAGCCGGAGGACAUGGCGUUAUGGUACUGCCACGUCGGCGGCAGUGCCUCCAACGAACGUGGAUGGGUCAGGCAUGAGUACGACAUGGGAAGCGUCACGUUCCCAGCGAUCAAUGGAGGAGCAACAUGCAGAUGAACAAGUUCAUCACCCGGCUCAUGGCGGUCGGAGGCGAGUUCCACUUCUUCAAGAGGCAUGUCGAGCUCGGCGUGCUCGAUUUCUCCCCUGGACCAGUCUUCAGCUCCGUGCCGGUCCCUGCCAUCGAGCGUCCCUCGAGGACCAACACCAUGGUACCAUUGUUCGUUGAUCUUGGCGGGGAGCUCUAUCUGGUCUCCCCCUUCUUGCACUACAACGUCGGUGACGCCUCAUGCGUUCGCGGCUGCAGCGUGUACAAGAUGAACCUUGCCGGGAAGAGGCGUGGCGCAAGGUCAGCGACAUCGGCGACCUCAGUAUUUCGAUGGGUGGUGAGCCGUGACCGCCUCCGGGCUGAGACCGAACUGCAUCUAUUGGAUGGGGCUGUGUGACAACAACAUGGUGUGAAUCUUCGACAUCAACGAGAAUGGAGACACACGUGAAGUGCACGAUCCGUGCAAAGAUAUCCCAGGGUCUAAUCGUAAUGCGGUGUGGAUGCUUCCUACUGAUCCAUAAAUAUGAAAUAAACUAGAUGAUUCUUCAUGCGUUGCUUGCUGAGAGUAUUGGUUGCAAUAAAUUUGAACGAGG
rnacentral:lncRNA from 1 species